UUAAAAUGUUGAUAUAUAUAUGGUGGAUUAAAUGUUCGAUUUUAUUACAAAACAAACAAAGGACAACACAAAUUGUUGGUAAUGGCAAUGACGAUAUUUCUUAAAUUGACUGGUAAUCACACAUGCAGAUUGGAUGCUGAGUCUUCAAACACGAUAGAUUCUAUAAAAGAAAAGGUCUUGAACAGGGAAGGAAUUCCAGUUGACCAACAGUGCCUUCUGUUUGCAGGACAACAACUAGAGAAUAACCGUACUUUGGCAGACUAUGACAUACAAAACGGUUCAACGGUGCUUCUUAGACUACAGAAACCGAUGAUUGAUCCAUAAAUCUAUUGCGUAUUAUAAUAUAUUUUCAAACUGUUGUUUUCUGGUGUAAUAAUUUACGUGUAAAUCUGUAUUUGACCAAACCAUAUAUUUUAGCAAUAAACGUGAUCUCAUGAAUUUA